GACGAACGCUGGCGGCGUGCUUAACACAUGCAAGUCGAACGGAAAGGCCCUGCUUUUGUGGGGUGCUCGAGUGGCGAACGGGUGAGUAACACGUGAGUAACCUGCCCUUGACUUUGGGAUAACUUCAGGAAACUGGGGCUAAUACCGGAUAGGAGCUCCUGCUGCAUGGUGGGGGUUGGAAAGUUUCGGCGGUUGGGGAUGGACUCGCGGCUUAUCAGCUUGUUGGUGGGGUAGUGGCUUACCAAGGCUUUGACGGGUAGCCGGCCUGAGAGGGUGACCGGCCACAUUGGGACUGAGAUACGGCCCAGACUCCUACGGGAGGCAGCAGUGGAGAAUAUUGCACAAUGGGCGGAAGCCUGAUACAGCAACGCCGCGUGCGGGAUGACGGCCUUCGGGUUGUAAACCGCUUUCGCCUGUGACGAAGCGUGAGUGACGGUAAUGGGUAAAGAAGCACCGGCUAACUACGUG
rnacentral:rRNA from 1 species